CCUCCCUCUGGCCAGAACAGCGUCUACCUGAAAAGUUCAAGGCAGCUCUGUGACAUGAGACAGCAGCUUUCGCAGCCUCUGGCUUACUGCCUCUCCCUCAGUCAGCGAGCAACAACGAGGAGCUGCCCGGUUCCAGGGCUGGGGCGAGGUCGCAAAGAAUCGCCAAGAAAAUACCACGUGGAUACCAGUUUGCAUGGGUAGCUUGGCUGUCAUGGUGAAUCUGCAUGGUGACUCAAACAUUUCUCGUUCAGUCUUUCAGUGUAACGCUCCGGAGGUUGGGCAUUUCCAGACUGAACAGGUAAUUGAAUCUGUUCUAGAUGCUGGAGAUCCAGGAAGGAGAGAAACAGACAUUCGCCACAUUGCGAAUCAGACUACGUGCUACUGCUUGUAUUCGGCCACGGGAGGAGCACAGGGCUGAACAAUAAUAUCUGCGUGGCACCAGGAGUUCAAGACAUUUGCACAACAAACCUGAAGCCAAGGCAGAAGGGUAUCAGAAUGGAAAAGCGGAUCAAGCCAAACUAUGGAAUCUGCCACAGCGUGGUUAGCAGAAUGGCUUGGUUACAACACUUGGAAGAGACCAGACCCCAGUGGACUUCAGUCCUUUAGUUGUGACCCAGGGUUUGGUCACUGGCAAGCAGGCUGGGCCAAGACCUUUUGCAAACGUGGGAGCCUAAGGAUGAAGAGUUAUCUAAGACAGUUGCUAUUUCAGUCCAGAACUUGAAGCUAAAAAUGUUCGAAUGGAAAAAAAAAAAAGUUUAAAAAUAUAGAUGUGUAUUUUUCUAAAACCCCAUUAAGCUGUCAAGGGCCCUCAGUGUGUGUUUCCUUUCCCAUCGUUGCUAAUC